rnacentral:rRNA from 1 species
UUAAACGGCCGCGGUAUACUGACCGUGCAAAGGUAGCGUAAUCACUUGUCUUUUAAAUGAAGACUAGUAUGAAUGGCAUCACGAGAACUAAUCUGUCUCCCCCCCCCAAUCAGUGAAACUGAUCUCCCCGUGCAGAAGCGGGGAUAAUACCAUAAGACGAGAAGACCCUGUGGAGCUUAAAAUCAAAAAUCAACUGCUUCACCCACCUUUACUAAAGGAAACAUUUUCCACAGACCUGAUCUAGAUUUUUAGCUGGGGCGGCUGUGGAGAAAAACAAAUCCUCCACGAAUAUUUAUGCUAAAAGCUACCGCCAUAGGCAUUAAUAAACUUAACUUUAAUUGACCCAAUUUUUGAUCAACGGACCAAGUUACCCCAGGGAUAACAGCGCAAUCCACUUUCAGAGUCCUUAUCGACAAGUGGGCUUACGACCUCGAUGUUGGAUCAGGGCAUCCUAGUGGUGCAGCCGCUACUAAAGGUUCGUUUGUUCAACGAUUAAAG